AGUGAACGCUGGCGGUAGGCCUAACACAUGCAAGUCGAACGGCCGCACAGUAAGAGCUUGCUCUUACGGGUGGCGAGUGGCGGACGGGUGAGGAAUACAUCGGAAUCUACUUUUUCGUGGGGGAUAACGUAGGGAAACUUACGCUAAUACCGCAUACGACCUACGGGUGGAAUCAGGAGAUCUUCGGACCUUUCGCGAUUGAAUGAGCCGAUGUCGGAUUAGCUAGUUGGCGGGGUAAAGGCCCACCAAGGCAACGAUCCGUAGCUGGUCUGAGAGGAUGAUCAGCCACACUGGAACUGAGACACGGUCCAGACUCCUACGGGAGGCAGCAGUGGGGAAUAUUGGACAAAGGGCGAAAGCCUGAUGGAGCCAUACCGCGUGGGUGAAGAAGGUCUUCGGGUUGUAAAGCUCUUUUGUUGGGAAAGAAAAGAAGUAGGUGAAUAUCCCGAUGUUCUGACGGUACCCAAAGAGUAAGCACCGGCUAACUUCGUG
rnacentral:rRNA from 1 species